rnacentral:rRNA from 1 species
GGUUACGUCAAGACCCACGGUUAUUAACCGUAGGCUUUUCUUCUCUACUGAAAGUGCUUUACAACCCGCAGGCCUUCUUCACACACGCGGCAUUGCUGGAUCAGGGUUGCCCCCCAUUGUCCAAUAUUCCCCA